GAACAGUUUGAUCUCAGUCAGUAGAGCAUGAGACUUUUAAUCUCAGGGUUGUGGGUUGGAGCCCCAUAUUGGGCA